AGAACGAACGCUGGCGGCAUGCCUAACACAUGCAAGUCGAACGAGACCUUCGGGUCUAGUGGCGCACGGGUGCGUAACGCGUGGGAAUCUGCCCUUGGGUACGGAAUAACAGCGAGAAAUUGCUGCUAAUACCGUAUAAUGACUUCGGUCCAAAGAUUUAUCGCCCAGGGAUGAGCCCGCGUAGGAUUAGCUUGUUGGUGAGGUAAAAGCUCACCAAGGCGACGAUCCUUAGCUGGUCUGAGAGGAUGAUCAGCCACACUGGGACUGAGACACGGCCCAGACUCCUACGGGAGGCAGCAGUGGGGAAUAUGGACAAUGGGCGAAAGCCUGAUCCAGCAAUGCCGCGUGAGUGAUGAAGGCCUUAGGUGUAAAGCUCUUUUACCCGGAUGAUAAUGACAGUACCGGAGAAUAAGCUCCGGCUAACUCCGUGCCAGCAGCCGC
rnacentral:rRNA from 1 species